rnacentral:rRNA from 1 species
UAAAGUCAAACUUAAUGGGUUAAAGCUAAUAAAUAACUACUAUUAAGUACAACAACUCUACUUAUUAUUGUAAGAGUAAAAUCUUUAUAAAUAAGAUAGGAAUGUGUUAAUGUAACAUUAAUUCUCUUACGAGGCGCUAGCAUAAAGACUAGGAUUAGAUACCCUAUUAUGGGCGUGAGUAUGAAAGUUUAUUAAGUUAAUAGCCUUAAUUAAAGCAAAACCUAUUUACUAUGGCGGCUGUUAGUCUCACCAGAGUCGUAUGUCCUUAAACGAAACUGCGCGAUCAUCUUACCUUUUAACUUUUGCUAAUAUAAAAUAAUUACAUUAUAGCAAUCUGGUACGUCGCUGUACUAAAAGUGAAGAUUUUAAAUAACUCAUCUUCUAAUUACUUAUUAGCAUUUAUUAAUAACGUACAAGUCAAGACGCCGUUUUAAGAGGCUUAAGAUGUACGAUUUAAUUGAUUUGAUAGAAUUUAUAAGAAUGAAAACUUUCUUUAUUAAAAUAAUUUGGAAGUAAAAUAGGGUUAUUAUUCUUAUUUGAAAUGAGCUACUAAUAAGU